rnacentral:rRNA from 1 species
UACGGAGGGGGCUAGCGUUGUUCGGAAUUACUGGGCGUAAAGCGCACGUAGGCGGCUUUGUAAGUUAGAGGUGAAAGCCCAGGGCUUAACCCUGGAAUUGCCUUUAAGACUGCAUCGCUAGAAUCGUGGAGAGGUGAGUGGAAUUCCGAGUGUAGAGGUGAAAUUCGUAGAUAUGACAUAGAACAUCGAUUGCGAAGGCAGCUCGCUACGCUAUUAUUGACACUGAGGCACGAAAGCGUGGGGAUCAAACAGG